UACGGAGGGGGCGAGCGUUGUCCGAAGUUACUGGGCGUAAAGGGCGCGUAGGCGGGCCACUAAGUCUGUCGUGAAAGCCCGGCGCUUAACGCCGGUUGGUCGGUGGAGACUGGUGGUCUUGAAGGUGCUAGGGAAAGAUGGAAUUGCCGGUGUAGCGGUGAAAUUCGUAGAUAUUCGCAAGAACACCAGUGGCGAAGGCGGCUCACUGGUCCGGAACUGACGCUCAUGCACGACAGCGUGGGGAGCAAACAGG
rnacentral:rRNA from 1 species